rnacentral:rRNA from 1 species
UGGGGAAUAUUGGACAAUGGGCGAAAGCCUGAUCCAGCCAUGCCGCGUGUGUGAAGAAGGUCUUCGGAUUGUAAAGCACUUUAAGUUGGGAGGAAGGGCAGUUACCUAAUACGUGAUUGUUUUGACGUUACCGACAGAAUAAGCACCGACUAACUCUGUGCCAGCAGCCGCGGUAAUACAGAGGGUGCAAGCGUUAAUCGGAAUUACUGGGCGUAAAGCGCGCGUAGGUGGUUUGUUAAGUUGGAUGUGAAAUCCCCGGGCUCAACCUGGGAACUGCAUUCAAAACUGACUGACUAGAGUAUGGUAGAGGGUGGUGGAAUUUCCUGUGUAGCGGUGAAAUGCGUAGAUAUAGGAAGGAACACCAGUGGCGAAGGCGACCACCUGGACUAAUACUGACACUGAGGUGCGAAAGCGUGGGGAGCAAACA